GACAGAGGGGGCAAGCGUUGCUCGGAAUCACUGGGCGUAAAGGGCGCGUAGGCGGGAUGGCAAGUCGGUCGUGAAAUCCUUCGGCCCAACCGAAGAACGUCGGCCGAUACUGCCGUUCUUGAGGGAUGCAGAGGAGACUGGAAUUCCCGGUGUAGCGGUGAAAUGCGCAGAUAUCGGGAAGAACACCCGUGGCGAAGGCGGUUCUCUGGGGACGGUACUGACGCUGAGACGCGAAAGCGUGGGGAGCGAA
rnacentral:rRNA from 1 species